rnacentral:rRNA from 1 species
UACGUAGGGGGCAAGCGUUAUCCGGAUUUACUGGGUGUAAAGGGGGCGCAGACGGCAAUGCAAGCCAGGAGUGAAAGCCCGGGGCCCAACCCCGGGACUGCUCUUGGAACUGCGUGGCUGGAGUGCAGGAGGGGCAGGCGGAAUUCCUGGUGUAGCGGUGAAAUGCGUAGAUAUCAGGAGGAACACCGGUGGCGAAGGCGGCCUGCUGGACUGCAACUGACGUUGAGGCCCGAAAGCGUGGGGAGCAAACAGG